UGUUCUUUUACUUGUCCACAAGUGAACUUUCUAGAACUCAUAGGGAAAGAGGUUUGAAGGUGGGAACUCAUAGCCAAAAGUAACACUCCCUAGUACUCAACUUAACAUCCUAAGGAAACAUAGCAAAUAGCAUGAGCAACUCCCUAUUCAGCUCUAGCUUCUCUAGGCCUAUCAAUACUCCUUAUGCCUCUACACAAGUUGCAAUACUCAUCA
rnacentral:lncRNA from 1 species